rnacentral:tRNA from 1 species
AUCUAAAUAGUUUAAUAAAAAUAUUAGUUUGUGGAGCUAAAGAUAUAAAAAAUUUGUUUUAGGUA